GAUGAACGCUGGCGGCGUGCCUAAUACAUGCAAGUCGAGCGAAAAGACGAGGAGAUUGCUCCUCUGACGUUAGCGACGGACGGGUGAGUAACACGUGGAUAACCUACCUAUAAGACUUGGAUAACUUCGGGAAACCAGAGAUAAUACCAGCUAAUAUAUUGAACCGCAUGGUUCAAUAGUGAAAGACGGUUUUGCUGUCUCUUUUAGAUGGAUCCGCGCCGCAUUAGCUAGUUGGUAAGGUAACGGCUUACCAAGGCAACGAUGCGUAGCCGACCUGAGAGGGUGAUCCGCCACACUGGAACUGAGACACGGUCCAGACUCCUACGGGAGGCAGCAGUAGGGAAUCUUCCGCAAUGGGCGAAAGCCUGACGGAGCAACGCCGCGUGAGUGAUGAAGGUCUUCGGAUCGUAAAGCUCUGUUAUUGGGGAAGAACAAAAGUGGAAGUAACUAUGCACGUCUUGACGGUACCUAAUCAGAAAGCCACGGCUAACUACGUG
rnacentral:rRNA from 1 species